GAUGAACGCUGGCGGCGUGCUUAACACAUGCAAGUCGAACGAAGCACUUUAUUUGAUUUCCUUCGGGACUGAUUAUUUUGUGACUGAGUGGCGGACGGGUGAGUAACGCGUGGGUAACCUGCCUUGUACAGGGGGAUAACAGUUGGAAACGGCUGCUAAUACCGCAUAAGCGCACGGCAUCGCAUGAUGCAGUGUGAAAAACUCCGGUGGUAUAAGAUGGACCCGCGUUGGAUUAGCUAGUUGGUGAGGUAACGGCCCACCAAGGCGACGAUCCAUAGCCGACCUGAGAGGGUGACCGGCCACAUUGGGACUGAGACACGGCCCAAACUCCUACGGGAGGCAGCAGUGGGGAAUAUUGCACAAUGGGCGAAAGCCUGAUGCAGCGACGCCGCGUGAGCGAAGAAGUAUUUCGGUAUGUAAAGCUCUAUCAGCAGGGAAGAUAAUGACGGUACCUGACUAAGAAACACCGGCUAAAUACGU
rnacentral:rRNA from 1 species